rnacentral:rRNA from 1 species
CGUUGAUUACGUCCCUGCCCUUUGUACACACCGCCCGUCGCUACUACCGAUUGAAUGGCUCAGUGAGGCGUCCGGACUGGCCCAGAGAGGUGGGCAACUACCCCUCAGGGCCGGAAAGCUCUCCAAACUCGGUCAUUUAGAGGAAGUAAAAGUCGUAACAAG